UGGGCCUUUGGCUUCCUGUCACACAGCCGUGCGACAAGGGGCAGGUUUCUGAAGGACCAGAGAGAAAAGGGGUCUGUUGUUCUCGGGGGCACAGGCUUGCUGGUGGCAUCCCGCACAGACACUCUCUCCUCACAGCUCCCACCACGGGGACUGGAGGCAGGAGGAGCCGACGGGCCCCUGGAACGGCCGCGGUGCGUCCAGAGGUGGGAGCCGCAAGCCCGAGGAUCGGCCGAGUCCCAGGGGACCCUAACGGAGGCCGGGCUGGAAGGCCAAGGUGGCUGCCACGUGGGAAGGUAUCCUUGACGUCCAGACCCUGGAGAAGGAGUCGGGAGCCACCACCCAAAGCAACUGUCCAGGAAAAGUGGUCGCGCUUCAGCCAUCGCGCUGGGCUAGGUCUUCCAAGCGAACCCCCUGUUGGAGCCUCUGCCGUCUAACGUCACCUAAUGUAGCCGAACCUGCCAAGACCCUGGCUACUUCACUGGAACCCAGACCAGGGCGAUCCCCGAGUGUUGCGAGCCCACCUUCCUCUUCCUCGACGGUGGCUCCAGCCCCUUCAUGUCGCCUCCAAGCUCCUGCCCAAGUGUUCCCACCCGCACUGCUGGGAGCAGCUCCUCUGUGUUUUCAGGGCCACUUUGCUGUCGUCCUUUGAAGGUUCUCUUGGCGACUCUAGGAAGACUCCGUGGUACAGGUGACCUUCUGUAUCUGUGGAGGAUCGGUUCCCAGAUACCCCCGCCCACGGAUCCCAAAAUCCCAGGAGCCAAGCCUUGUCUAAAGUGCCGGAGUGCAGCCUGGCCUCCAGAACGCGUGAGAACAGAGCAGCCGUACUCUGUUUCCAACGAACCGAUGGCCAAAGCCCCGCUGUGCGUGUUCUCUAUGGACUGAACAGCCAGUGGCCCUGUAGCAGUGAAGCCUCACACCGUCCUCCAGGCUGGAAGGGACCCUUGAGUCACAGAACUUGCCAGUUUGCAAACAUGUCUCUAGUUGUAACAACUUUCAUCUGUCAAAUGAGGGCUCUUCAUUUCUAAGGUUCUAGAAGCCGGCCGUGGUCAUAUAGUCCCUCAGCUGGGUGUACUGAAAUCUGGGCCAGAGGCACAGCUUCCUCGCUAAGACACCCCCCCACCCCAGCACCCUGCACACACACACAGGCAGAGGCCAAGCUGCCUGCCUCCCCGCACCCCCUAGAAUGCUAACCACUGGGGACCGAGGGGUAGUUCCUACCUUUUAUAUCCUUACAUACUGAAUCUGGCGCUGGCUCCUGGGCUGCAUCUUCUUAACUGCAAACACUCUAUACCAUCCCUCUCUGGUUCCACCAGCCACCACCCUCCUUCCGUGUCCUCCUCUGAACGUGCCUGAUAAAGGCUUUUGAGUGACUGAAUGAGUGGACGGCUCCCAUCUUCUGUCAUCUCAAUGAGUGCUGCUCCCCAGCUGACUGGAACCAGACGCCCUAGUUCCCAGGCUGGGUUUCCCUCCAGAUGUGUUCUCCUGCGGUGUCGGUUCCACCGUUAAACAGCUGUAUCGCUCAGCAGGUACGCAACGUUGAUGCGCCUCCAUUUCCUCCUCUGCAGAAUUGUGGGCGUUCCUGUCGUGGCUCAGCAGAAUCCGGCUUGUAUCCACGAGGAUGCGGGUUCUAUCCCUGGCCUCGCUCGGUGAAUCUGGGAUCCAGCCUUGCCGUGAGCUGUGGUGUAGGCCGGAAGCUGUAGCUCCAAUUUGACCCCUAGCCUGGAAACUUCCAUAUGCUGAGGGUUCGGCCUUAAAAACAACAACAACAACAAAAUAGUACUUACGUCAUAGGGUUGCUGUCAGCAUUAAAUGAGAGAGUCUGUUAAAAACGCCGAGAACAUUGCCUGGCAAUAUACAUUGCAGAAUACUCAAUAAAUAUUAGCUGGUGUUAUUUCAUACUUCAUCAAAC
rnacentral:lncRNA from 1 species